CGAAAUGCGAUAAGUAAUGUGAAUUGCAGAAUUCAGUGAAUCAUCGAAUCUUUGAACGCACCUUGCGCUCCUUGGUAUUCCUUGGAGCAUGCCUGUUUGUGUAUCAUGAAAUCUUCAAAGUAAAUCUUUUGUUAACUCAAUUGGUUUCUACUUUGGUAUUGGAGGUCUUUGCAGCUUCACACCUGCUCCUCUUUGUUCAUUAGCUGGAUCUCAGUGUUAUGCUUGGUUCCACUCGGCGUGAUAAGUUAUCUAUCGCUGAGGACACUGUAAAAGGUGGCCAAGGUAAAUGCAGAUGAACCGCUUCUAAUAGUCCAUUGACUUGGACAAUACUUUUAUGAUCUGAUCUCAAAUCAGGUAGGACUACCCGCUGAACUUAAGC
rnacentral:misc_RNA from 1 species